rnacentral:lncRNA from 1 species
CUUGCACGGGUUUGUCGAUUGGUCUUGUUGUCUUGGCGCUGUCCCAGUCUAUUAAAGCGUUGUUGGCGUAGGCUUGUUGUGCCAGGGCCGUUGUGACUCUUCCCAUUUUGGUGUCAUUCUUAUGUUCAUGUGUUCUAUGGCGCAGGAUUCUCUUGGUGACUCGGAUUUGGGUGGCUUCUGUGCCUUGUGGUUGAUGUUUGGGGGGUAUCCUAUAUACGCUGGAUUUUUGCUGUAUCUUUUCUUGGGUCUUUCUUGUUGCACAGUGCAUUGGGGGGAGUUGGCAUUCUUUUGGGAGCUAUUUUUCUUCCAGUCUUGGAGGCUGUUUCUUUUAUAACUGUGGAUUUUGUUGGGGGAUACGGCACCAGAGUGGGGGCAUCUUGCUGAGUUCUUUGCUGGUGGUCAUUUUGGGAGGCGUUGUGUAUCUUUGUUCUUAUUUUUCAGUGUACUCUAUCUAACAAGGAGAGGUCCUCAGGUGGAAUCCACCGAUUUUGAUGGGACUUAAUAG